GGUUAGCAUGGCAUAGUGGUCUGGGCGUUGGACUAUGACUCUGGAGACCAGGGUUCAAAUCUCAGCUUGGCCA